UGCAGUAGAACGCUGAAGAGAGGAGCUUGCUCUUCUUGGAUGAGUUGCGAACGGGUGAGUAACGCGUAGGUAACCUGCCUUGUAGCGGGGGAUAACUAUUGGAAACGAUAGCUAAUACCGCAUAACAAUGGGUGACUCAUGUCAUUUAUUUGAAAGGGGCAAAUGCUCCACUACAAGAUGGACCUGCGUUGUAUUAGCUAGUAGGUGAGGUAACGGCUCACCUAGGCGACGAUACAUAGCCGACCUGAGAGGGUGAUCGGCCACACUGGGACUGAGACACGGCCCAGACUCCUACGGGAGGCAGCAGUAGGGAAUCUUCGGCAAUGGGGGCAACCCUGACCGAGCAACGCCGCGUGAGUGAAGAAGGUUUUCGGAUCGUAAAGCUCUGUUGUAAGUCAAGAACGAGUGUGAGAGUGGAAAGUUCACACUGUGACGGUCGCUUACCAGAAAGGGACGGCUAACUACGUGCCAGCAGCCGCGGUAAUACGUAUGUCCCGAGCGUUGUCCGGAUUUAUUGGGCGUAAAGCGAGCGCAGGCGGUUUGAUAAGUCUGAAGUUAAAGGCUGUGGCUCAACCAUAGUUCGCUUUGGAAACUGUCAAACUUGAGUGCAGAAGGGGAGAGUGGAAUUCCAUGUGUAGCGGUGAAAUGCGUAGAUAUAUGGAGGAACACCGGUGGCGAAAGCGGCUCUCUGGUCUGUAACUGACGCUGAGGCUCGAAAGCGUGGAGAGCGAACAGGAUUAGAUACCCUGGUAGUCCACGCCGUACACGAUGAGUGCUAGGUGUUGGAUCCUUUCCGGGAUUCAGUGCCGCAGCUAACGCAUUAAGCACUCCGCCUGGAGAGUACGACCGCAGUGUUGAAACUCAGAGGAAUUGACGGGCGCCCGCACAAGCGGUGGAGCAUGUGGUUUAAUUCGAAGCAACGCGAAGAACCUUACCAGGUCUUGACAUCCCGAUGCUAUCUCUAGAGAUAGAAUGUUACUUCGGUACAUCGGUGAC
rnacentral:rRNA from 1 species